GACGAACGCUGGCGGCGUGCUUAACACAUGCAAGUCGAACGGAAAGGCCCUGCUUUUGUGGGGUGCUCGAGUGGCGAACGGGUGAGUAACACGUGAGUAACCUGCCCUUGACUUUGGGAUAACUUCAGGAAACUGGGGCUAAUACCGGAUAGGAGCUCCUGCUGCAUGGUGGGGGUUGGAAAGUUUCGGCGGUUGGGUAUGGACUCGCGGCUUAUCAGCUUGUUGGUGGGGUAGUGGCUUACCAAGGCUUUGACGGGUAGCCGGCCUGAGAGGGUGACCGGCCACAUUGGGACUGAGAUACGGCCCAGACUCCUACGGGAGGCAGCAGUGGGGAAUAUUGCACAAUGGGCGGAAGCCUGAUGCAGCAACGCCGCGUGCGGGAUGUCGGCCUUCGGGUUGUAAACCGCUUUCGCCUGUGACGAAGCGUGAGUGACGGUAAUGGGUAAAGAAGCACCGGCUAACUACGUG
rnacentral:rRNA from 1 species